rnacentral:misc_RNA from 1 species
AAAGUCGUAACAAGGUCUCCGUUGGUGAACCAGCGGAGGGAUCAUUACCGAGUUUUCUACUCCCAAACCCCUGUGAACUUAUACCUUUACCGUUGCUUCGGCGGGUUUAACGCCCCGGAAGGCCCAGCCCCCGAGAGGGGGGGAAAGCCGCCGGAACCAGGCGCCCGCCGGGGGACCCAAACUCUUGUAUUUUCUUACUUUGCAUGUCUGAGUGGAAUCAUAAACAAAUGAAUCAAAACUUUCAACAACGGAUCUCUUGGUUCUG